GUGGGGAAUAUUGCACAAUGGGCGCAAGCCUGAUGCAGCCAUGCCGCGUGUAUGAAGAAGGCCUUCGGGUUGUAAAGUACUUUCAGCGGGGAGGAAGGGAGUAAAGUUAAUACCUUUGCUCAUUGACGUUACCCGCAGAAGAAGCACCGGCUAACUCCGUGCCAGCAGCCGCGGUAAUACGGAGGGUGCAAGCGUUAAUCGGAAUUACUGGGCGUAAAGCGCACGCAGGCGGUUUGUUAAGUCAGAUGUGAAAUCCCCGGGAUCAACCUGGGAACUGCAUCUGAGACUGGCAAGCUUGAGUCUCGUAGAGGGGGGUAGAAUUCCAGGUGUAGCGGUGAAAUGCGUAGAGAUCUGGAGGAAUACCGGUGGCGAAGGCGGCCCCCUGGACGAAGACUGACGCUCAGGUGCGAAAGCGUGGGGAGCAAACAGGAUUAGAUACCCCUGUAGUCC
rnacentral:rRNA from 1 species